AAUAGAUACCCUGGUAGUCCACGCCGUAAACGAUGGAUGCCAGCCGUUAGGCAGCUUGCUGCUUAGUGGCGCAGCUAACGCAUUAAGUGCCCCGCCUGGGGAGUACGGCCGCAAGGCUAAAACUCAAAGGAAUUGACGGGGGCCCGCACAAGCGGCGGAGCAUGCGGAUUAAUUCGAUGCAACGCGAAGAACCUUACCAAGGCUUGACAUAUACGGUCUAUCCCUAGAGAUAGGGAGUGCUUCGGCGCCGUAUACAGGUGGUGCAUGGUUGUCGUCAGCUCGUGUCGUGAGAUGUUGGGUUAAGUCCCGCAACGAGCGCAACCCUCGUUCUAUGUUGCCAGCACGUAAUGGGUGGGGACUCAUAGGAGACUGCCGGGGUCAACUCGGAGGAAGGUGGGGAUGACGUCAAAUCAUCAUGCCCCUUAUGUCUUGGGCUUCACGCAUGCUACAAUGGCCGGUACAAAGGGCUGCAAUACCGUAAGGUGGAGCGAAUCCCAAAAAGCCGGUCUCAGUUCGGAUUGAGGUC
rnacentral:rRNA from 1 species